rnacentral:ncRNA from 1 species
UUUGAGUUUGAUUUUUACUUUUGAAUUAAUUUUUUGUUUAUAUCAUACGUGAGUUUUUAAAAAUUAUUUUAUCAGUGAUAAAUAUUUUAUUAUUAUUUUUCAUAAUUAAGUUAAACAUAUAUCUUGGAAAAAUAUUGUGCCAGCAUUCGCGGUUAAACAAUUUAAGAAAUUUAAUUUUUUAAGUUUUAAUUUUUGGUUAUGAAUUUAAAGUUUAUUUAUUUAAGUGAAAUUUUUAAUUAAAUUAUUUUCUUUAUGAAAGUUUAUUAGAAUCUUUAUUUAAACCAGGAUUAGAUACCCUGUUAUUUAUUUUUAAUAAAGUUACUUUAACAUUAGUAGUUAAGUUCUACAAAAUUUGUAUAAUUUGGCGGUAAAUUUAAAUUAGGGGAACCUGUUCUUUAAUUGAUAAACCACGAUAUAUUCAACUUAAAUUUUAUUUGUAUAUCUCUAUAUAAAUAGUAUUUUUAAAAGAAUAUACUUUUUUUAUUUACCAUAAUUAAUAUUAGGUCAAGGUGCAGUUUUUUUUAAGAAAGUGUGGGUUACUUUAAAUUUUAAUAAUUAGGAUAUUGAUUUACAAAAUCUAUUGAAUUAGGAUUUAAUAGUAAUUUAAAGUUAUUACUUUAUUUGAAUUUUUUAAAAUUUAUGCACAUAUUGCCCGUCACUCUCAUUUUAAUUGAGAUAAGUCGUAACAAAGUAAUUGUACUGGAAAGUGUAGUUAGAUUAA